AAAAAAAAAAAAUCGCUCUGUAUGCCCACAUUUUUCCCUCAAAAAAAAUGGAAUUUAAGUGUAGAAACGCUCCGGAGAAGGGAGGGCAAAGGAAGAAGGAACGAUGGCGAACAAGUUGAUCAGUGAGAUGGGUCUCCCCACAUCAAUAGCCAACAUCUUCGCUGCUCGCAACAUCACUACUGCCAAGGAAGCAUUAUCUCUAACCGAAUUCGAAUUGAUGGAGUUAUUGGAUGUGGGUAUGGCGCGAGUAACAUCUGCAGUGGCACACAUCAGCGAAAUCGUCUCGCCACCGACGCAAACUGCCCUGUCACUGAUGGAGCAGAGGGUUCAGAAUGAGUAUAUGGCUGGCCAUCUUCCCACACGCCUCAAAGGGUUGGACGAGGCUUUAGGGGGUGGAAUCCCAUUUGGUGUUCUUACUGAGUUGGUUGGUCCUCCCGGAAUUGGCAAAACCCAAUUUUGCCUUAAACUCUCAUUAUUGGCUUCUCUGCCUGCAAGUUAUGGAGGCUUAGAUGGCCGUGUAAUAUAUAUUGAUGCCGAAUCCAAGUUUAGUUCAAGAAGGAUGAUAGAAAUUGGAUCAAAGAGUUUCCCAGAAAUAUUCCAUGUGGAAGGAAUGGCAAAGGAGAUGGCCGGGAGGAUCCUAGUUUUGAGGCCAACAUCACUGUCUGAAUUUACUGAGAGCUUACAGCACAUUAAGAUUUCACUUCUCCAAAAUCAUGUGAAGUUGCUUGUGAUUGAUAGCAUGGCUGCUCUUGUUACAGGGGAAUAUGACCAGGGGCCUACCAGACAACAUUCAUUGGGUUGGCAUAUUUCUUUUGUUAAGUCAGUUGCAGAAUUUUCACGAAUUCCUAUUGUAGUGACAAACCAGGUGAGGUCUCAAAGCCAUGACGGAACCUCGCAAUAUUCCUUCCAAGUGGAGAGCAGGGGUGAAACUGUAGAUGACCACACGAGAUUUGAUUCUCAUCUUGUUGCUGCUUUGGGGAUUCAUUGGGCUCAUGCUGUAACCAUUCGUCUUGUGCUUGAGGCUAAAGCAGGUCAGAGGUUUCUGAAAGUGGCAAAAUCUCCAAUAUCUCCACCUCUGGCAUUCCCUUUCAACAUAACUCCAUCAGGGAUCUCCUUGCUAAAUGAUGAGGGAAUAGAAAUGAAAGGACCACAGAUAAGCACAAUUCACUAUCAAGGCCACGAGGACAUCAUCAACUUUGACAGUGAAAGGUUGCAGUGAUCAAUCAGGACGCAAGCUGCAUCAAUCAAUAUGUAGGCAUGUUGCAAUUCUUAUACCAUAUACAAUGGAUUCAUGCAGACCAGCAGACAAGGAACACAUAAUUUAAGGUAAUGACUUACACCUAAAAGCUCAAUUAUGUGAACCACCUAAAAGAUAUAAUCAUACCUGCUAUUUGUUCUAUUAUCAUGAAUCUCCAGUAAGGAGUAGAGAAGUGGCAAACAUUGAGUUUCCAUAAAUAGUCAGCAUUCGGCUGUAGCCUGUCAAGGUGUCCAGCCGGUUAAGGCAAAUGCUAGGAUAUCUGUGGUAGAGGUGUAUGAUCCUAGGUUUGAUUUCUGUUGUUUGUUGAACCAGUGCUGGUUGUGACAGACACUAUCAGUACUCAGAGAUUUUGGGUCCCUAUGGAGUGUCCAAGGGGCUCGGCCAUAGGAAGUUUCUUGGUUAUUUAAAAAGAAAAAAGGCUGCAAUAUCCCCAUGAAAGUCCAAAGGGCUCAGUCAUGGGAGGUUCAUCAACGAAAAAAAAAAAAGAAAAAAAUUAGGCGGCAAAGAUCAUGAUGGCAUGAUGAGGGUGAUACCAUGUGAUCAUGUACCAAAGCAAAAUCUUAUUAGUUUAUGAGUCAGAUCUUUGGAACAAGAAUACCUUAGCAUGCACUCCAUCAAGAUUCAAAAGAUUUAUUCUUGUUUAUUAUUUGUAGGAACCGAGGAAAAAGAGCUUUUAAACUAUACAAUGAACUGGGUUGGGUUGUUUGUUUGUUUGCUCUCACCUAAAGAAGACAUAAAAGUACUCCACAGUCCACACCCUUCAAGAAUGGUUUCUCAAGACAAAAGGAAAAAUAUUAUAUGCACUCAAAGCACACAAAGAUUGACUGGUUUUUAAGGUUUCUUUCCUUUCUUCUCUCAGGCCUUUCCAUUUUAUAUCAUUUCUCUCCACACACCAGGAUUGCUUUGAAUCUCCUUUUCCUUUGGUCUCUCAGUUGUGUUAUGUGAAUCAUCCACUUAGCCUCCAUUCUCACUUUGGGUAUCAAUGGUUUCCAAACCCCUUUUGAUUCUAAGUUCCGCCUCCUCUCCGAUUUUAAAGGAUAACAUUGGUAUUACAAAAAUUUUAUCAAACACGGAAAUAUUUAUUUAUAAAAGCUCAGAAAGAGCUUUUAAUUUGUCAAAAAUCGAUCCAAACAAGGUCUAAGCUCAAAAGCAAAUCUUCAUUAAAUUAAACGAAUCUCGGAUUAUGUGAAUUGGCAUGCCUUUUUUUUUUAUUGUAUGUUUUGGCAUCUUAAUCUCCUCGAAAUUUUUUUAUGCUUAGUAUAUGAUAUACUACAUAAUAAAAGAUCAUAUAUUAAUUAGUGGCAUGGUGCUUAUUAUAUUAAUUAGUGGCAUUGUAUUUGUUGGCCAUGAUGGACCAACUUGAUGUAUAAUCUUCUUUCUUUCUUAAUUCUGAUUUGUUUAA